AUUGAACGCUGGCGGCAUGCUUUACACAUGCAAGUCGAACGGCAGCGCGGGCUUCGGCCUGGCGGCGAGUGGCGAACGGGUGAGUAAUACAUCGGAACGUGCCCAGUAGUGGGGGAUAGCUCGGCGAAAGCCGGAUUAAUACCGCAUACGACCUGAGGGUGAAAGCGGGGGAUCUUCGGACCUCGCGCUAUUGGAGCGGCCGAUGGCAGAUUAGCUAGUUGGUGGGGUAAAGGCCUACCAAGGCGACGAUCUGUAGCUGGUCUGAGAGGACGACCAGCCACACUGGGGCUGAGAAACGGCCCGGACUCCGACUGGAGGCAGAAGUGGGGAAUUGGGGACAAGGGGCGAAGGUCGGAUCCAGCAAUGCGGCGUGAGGGAUGAAGGCCUUCGGGUUGUAAAGCACUUUUGGCGGGAACGAAAAGGACUGUGCCAAUACCACGGUUCGAUGACGGUACCCGCAGAAUAAGCACCGGAUAACUACG
rnacentral:rRNA from 1 species